AAUUAAAAUUCAUGAUUCACAAUAAAAAAAAUUGUAUAAAUAAAUCAAGAUGAUUUAGGACGUGUCAAUUUUUCCAGCAGCUAUAACUUUUUCCCACCAGGAAGCAGACUUUUUCAAUAUACGUGUCCUGUUAGAAUCAUUAUAGUCGACAUAUACAAUACCAAAACGUUCCCUAAAAAUUAAAAUAUUAUUAUU